AGAAAGUUCUAGAGAAGAGGAGAAAAGAAAAUUCUAGCUAGGAAGAAGAAGAGAGCUUCGGAUUUGGGGAGAAAAAUAGCCACGAAGAUUUAGGCGCGCUAAAGAAACUUCCGAGGCAAGUUUCGACUAGUUUGACGAGUUUCAGACAAGGUUAAGGAGAUAUCGAGGCAAGCUGGGUUACGAUUAAUCUCUAAAGAGGUA